UCCUGGGGGACGCUACUCCGGUGGAAAAAUCCGUGUGUCCUGGUUGAUUGGGCCUGUGCGCGCGGCCCAACUAUCUGAUCAGUCCACGGUCUACCGAUCCAUCCCCUCUCUCCUUCGCGUAGCGCCUGCUCCCCUCCUGCCGCCGCAAUCGACUCAGGUCGUUCCUCUUCCCUACCCUCUAGCAACGACGCCGACGGCAACACGACAGUUAAGAUAACACCGAUGUUCUCGCUCGACAGGGGAGGUGGAUCGUCCGCUCGUUGUGCUCGCUGCUCGCUGGACAGAGGAGGUGGAUCGGUGACGGGGGAAUCCAGGCGCGCCCGAUGCGUGCGACGCGCUCCAGCGGGAUCCAGGCGAAGCGCCCGGCGACACUGGUGACCCGUCUAGGUGACGGCAUGACGAGCACGCGAUUCGGGCGACUCCAGCCGACGCGCUCGAGCGGGAUCCAAGCAAAGCAUGCGGCGGUGCCGGCCGCGACCACGACGACUUCGAUCCAGCAGCGGACCGGCCACUAUUCUGUCUGUUUAUCUCGCUGUCCACAUCUCCUGCCAGAGUUGAUUCCAGCCCCUAGCAGGCUAGCACCAACUCUCCACCUUGGGUUCGUCUGGAUACAGCCUACGCGCUCGAGCGGGAUCCAAGCGAAGGCGCGGUGCUGCCAACCGCGACCAUGAAGACUCACUCAAACGGGAUUCUACGAUGACUUGCCUGGCAGUGAAAACCAGCGUCUAGGAAUCGUGAAGGCGAGCAGUCACACAUCCACGAGGCUGCUUCUCUUCGAGUUCAUCGACCGCCAUGGGGUCCUGGGUAACUUGUCGUGGUAAGCUCCUCUGCAACACCACUCCCCUCGAGCCAACUACAACGUUUUAUCAACACGCUACGGGCUACGGCCGUAGCUUGUUCCCGCAACCCACGAGGCUGAAUAUCAACUGAUUGUCCGUUUCGUACUAGAAAUAUUGUGCAAUUAUAGAAACAGUAGCCAAAUAAUUAUCAUGUCAUGCUCAAGCUGAAUCACAAAUACACUGGAGGUGCACCGUCAAACAAAAGUAAGUCCCAAUACAUGCCAAAGUAUACACAUCUUUCUGUCUAACAUGGCAGUUUGUAAGACCCAUAGCUUCUGGUAGAAAAAUUGGAGAAAGACAUACAUAUUUACUGGAAAUAGUGUUAUUCAUGUCCUACAUGCUUGCACAUUAAAUUGUAGUUUAUUUCUAGCUCUAAAUUGUAGUUGUGUCGAUAAAGACACACUUCAUAUGUUCUCUCCAUGCCCGAAAAACCUUAUCUUUACAGAUCAAGUGCAUAUGCAUCAUACAAGGAUGGGAAGUGUUAGAACAUCUAGCUAGGUAGGCAGGUGGGUAUAUUCAUUUGACCUGCCGUGCUUCUGGGAUGUUUGCUCCUGCUGAAUUGUUAAUUGUGUAGCAGUAACCAUAUUCUUAGAGCAACUUGUGUACAGAGCACCCAGAAACAAAAUCAACAUAGACUGCAACUGUCGCUGGACUGCAUCUGAAACAUAUUUAGGGAAAUUUAUGAAUAAAUAGAAUGGAACUCUUGAUAACUCACACCGCAGUGGAUUACUGGUUCAUGAAUGCAAAUAGAUAGAUUAAAAUUUAUCUAAUCAUUGCAGAACCACCUAAUAUUCAGUCAGAUAAUAGAUUGUAGUGAUUAUUAGUGCUUAGGUAACUUAUGGCAUAAUUGAUGUUCAAUCUUACUUUAUAAAAGAUCAUCAUUUCUUCUGUAUUUACCUGCUCACUUCAAUAAUAUUGCAAUAAGCUAUACCAAAAAAUGUGUCAAUCUAUAGUGGUAGUGGAGCAUAAAGAAACUGAUUACAUACUGUUGCUAGCACUAAAAUGGCACAAAGAGAUACAGAAAACACUUCGGAGGUGAUCAUGACCAUUGUGUAAUUCAGAAAGUUGAUUGUGUUACUUCUGUGCAGUGGAUCUUCCAUGGUGACAUAAUCUCUGUCAAAUGUUUGUAGAGAAAAGCAUGUACUGAGUACUCUGUUGAAUGGAGCCUACUGUUUUCUUAGUCUACCAGUGAAGCUUUUGUGCUUAUAUACAAUGUAUCAUUAUUUAUCUAAGAGGCUGGCAUAUAUUAUAAACUGCCACAAUAAUUCAAGACCAACAGGAACUGAAUUUCUUUGCAUACUGUAAGUGCAACUACACUGCAGCUUCUCAAGGUAUGCAAAUUAUGUCCUAUCACACACCCCUUGCUAGCUUAAUCUUUCAAUUAUGUCCGAAAGAUAUGGGUUCACCAACUAGAAAGUUCGUCUUACCAUUGUUAGCUCCCCAUUUUAUUCUCUACAGAGCUCUCUCCUUAAUUGUAAGACUGGAUAUUCUUUCAAACCCAAAAUAUAACACAUGUGAGGUUCAGUUUGUUUUCUAUAUGGCAGUAGCAUCACAAAUGACAUUGAGAAAAAUACAGUCCCAUCAUGUAGACAAGACAAUGUUCCAACUCAGAUAGCUGCCCUUAUUUAUUAAUAAUUUAUUGUCAAGCAGAAAUCCACAUUUUAUUUUCUACAGGGUCCUCUCCUUAAUUGUAAGACUGGGUAUUCUUUCAAACAAAAAAUAUAACACAUGUGAGCUUGAGUUUGUUUCCUUCAUGGCAGUAGCAUCACAAAUAGUACAAACCCUUUUGUUUGUUAGUUUCUCUUAGUAAUAGUAAGUAGUUAUAGAGAAGAAUGACAUCUGAUCCUCACUUUCAUCUUUGCAAGUGAUAAAUUUUAUCAACCAUGACUUUGCAGGAUAAAAAUGAAUUGCAAUGAUUGGACUAGGUGUUCAUAGUUUGAUAGUGUUAAUGUCCCUGUUGUAUUUGUUAUGUUAUAGCUACUAUGCAUUUUCAUUACACUGAUAAUUUGUUGCAGGCAAAGUCUUACACUCCAUACUCAAAACAAUUAUCUAACUAUAGAUUUAACCUCCCAUUUAUCAACUAUUGAUCAAUAUAUAGGUCUGUUUAUGAUAA